CUUUUACAGAUAUUUGGAUUUUAUUUUGGCAGACAGUUUAGCUACUUUUAGACCAACUUGAUUCUUUUGAGGUUUGUUUUUAGCACAGGUCUGCAGUAGCCUCAGUCUAGCCCUAAUACUUCUGGGGUCUUUUCUGAAUGCCCUGCUUGUUCUGAGAUUUCUACACCACAAUUGAAAGUGAAUUCAAAAAAGCUGGAGAGGAGACGCAUCAGGUCAGAAGGGAUUUGCUGCUCUGAACUGCCAGUUACACUGCACAAAAGUGGUUUCCUGAGAAGCUAAGGGAAGAGAAGACUUAGACAUUACUAGAACCCAUUCCUCAAGACACUGUAUUCAGACAGAGGUGAUUGCAUCCUUUGAAAGCCUGUUUGCAUAGCAGACAAUGAAGCUGAGCAGAGAAAAACAAGAUGAGAGACAGAUGGAGUAGGAGACCUGAGAAGAUGGCUUGAGUCCAUGAAUUCUGGUGUUCCCUAGGCCACAUUUGCCCCCAUCCUUCCCAGGUGAGAGAACCUUUGUGGGAGCGCAGAAGUCCAGCAGAGAGACCCUAGCACUUUAUUUGGACCAAAAAAUAAAUAAUAAAUAAAUAAAUAAAUAAAUCCAAAACUAGAUGCAUUAAAGAAGGUUAGACUUCUCCUAUGGAGAAUGCAGCAAGAAAAUACCAUCUUGAAGCAGAGAGCAGCGCUCAUCAGGCAUCAGUCCUUCUGGAGCCUUGAUCUUGGACCUCCCAGCUCCAAAAUAAUAAGUAAUAAAUUGUUAUUGCUUAUAAAUU
rnacentral:lncRNA from 1 species